rnacentral:rRNA from 1 species
GACAGAGGGUGCGAACGUUGUUCGGAAUUACUGGGCGUAAAGCGCGCGUAGGCGGCUUUGCAAGUCGGGUGUGAAAUCCCCAGGCUUAACCUGGGAACUGCAUUCGAGACUGCAUUGCUAGAGUAUGGGAGAGGGAAGUGGAAUUUCCGGUGUAGCGGUGAAAUGCGUAGAUAUCGGAAGGAACAUCAGUGGCGAAAGCGACUUCCUGGACCAAUACUGACGCUCAUGUGCGAAAGCGUGGGGAGCAAACAGG